rnacentral:rRNA from 1 species
GUCGAGAAUCUUUCACAAUGGGGGCAACCCUGAUGGAGCGACGCCGCGUGGAGGAUAAGGUCUUCGGAUUGUAAACUCCUGUCAUGCGUGAACAAGGUUGCUUGGUUAAUACCUGGGCAAAUUGAUGGUAACGCAAGAGGAAGAGACGGCUAACUCUGUGCCAGCAGCCGCGGUAAUACAGAGGUCUCAAGCGUUGUUCGGAAUCACUGGGCGUAAAGGGUGCGUAGGUGGCGUGGUAAGUCAGAGGUGAAGUCCCGGGGCUCAACCUCGGAACUGGAUCCGAUACUGCCAUGCUGGAGUACUGGAGAGGUGACUAGAAUUCUCGGUGUAGCAGUGAAAUGCGGAGAUAUCGAGAGGAAUACCAAAGGCGUAGGCAGGUCACUGGACAGUUACUGACACUGAGGCACGAAGGCCAGGGGAGCGAACGGGAUUAGAAACCCGGGUAGUCC